UUCUUUUUCCCCCACCCUUUCUCCUCUGAGGGUUAGUUUUCACCAGUGCAGCAUCUCUAACAGUCAGGGAACUUCACAGUGAGUUGAGAUCGCAUUGAUUUCUCCAGGAAGAGGCCACAUACUAAUUUUUCCCAUUUUUCUCCCUUGAGGAAUGCAGGUAACAGCUCCAGGAAGGCAGCUGGGUUUGUAGAUAUUAUGUUCAUCCUCUGGCUGACAGGGAAGUCUGAGGUCUGUGGGACCAUCGUGGGACACGAGGAGACUUUGGCUGGUCUGGUGCAAUGCUGGUGCUGCUGGGAAAGCACGAGGGAUAAAAUCAGAACAGAUUGAGUCUGAGAGAAGCAUCAGCUCAGAUGGAUGAGGAACCCAAUGGAAAGUUUAGAUGAAACACAGAAGAAAUGAAGAAGUGUUGGCAAGCGGCAGCUCAGCUGAGACUGGCAGCCUCAAGGGCUUCCAGAAGGAAAGAGGCUUUCAAUUACUGUGCUGCUGCUCAUCCCAAUUCCCCUGCCACGCCAGGAGGGGUGGGGCAGCUGGGGAGCCCUGCCCUCCUGUGAUCCCACCCCACGGAGAUGGACCUGAGACCCUAAAGCUGCACAUUUGGUCUUGUUGAUGUUUUACAGGGCUGAUUUCUUCCUGAAGCAGUGGCAGAGUGUGGGUGUGGAGGCUCUGUAAGGAUCUCCAGGUGAUGGGCACUGUGGUCACUUGUGCCAGGGUGGAAAGGAGCCACAAAGGCUGGACACCUUUGAAACAUCCAGUGCUGGGUGUUGGUGAUGGAUGAUGAUUUAAAGCCCAUUUGUGCAGGGAAUAAUGGCUCAUAACCAUCCCCUCUCCUUUAGUGAUGUGACACUGCUGAGAUGGGUGGUGUCGUGUUUCCACCUUAGGGGAGGUGUUGUAUUAACUCUCCCUGCCCUUG